rnacentral:rRNA from 1 species
CAGCCGCCGCGGUAAUACAGAGGGUGCGAGCGUUAAUCGGAUUUACUGGGCGUAAAGCGUGCGUAGGCGGCUUUUUAAGUCGGAUGUGAAAUCCCUGAGCUUAACUUAGGAAUUGCAUUCGAUACUGGGAAGCUAGAGUAUGGGAGAGGAUGGUAGAAUUCCAGGUGUAGCGGUGAAAUGCGUAGAGAUCUGGAGGAAUACCGAUGGCGAAGGCAGCCAUCUGGCCUAAUACUGACGCUGAGGUACGAAAGCAUGGGGAGCAAACAGGAUUAGAUACCCGCGUAGUCCCUGUCUUUUAUAC